GUGUUCAAAUGUGCUCUCAUUAUAAUGCUGUAUAUUUCCUCUGCAUAUGCAUAAUAUAGGAUAGGAUCUGUCAAUGACUGUCGCUUUUUAAUCAAUUUUUCUACAUCACCACAGUGUAACACAUCAAAUCUGCAAUUUCAAAGAAUAGAAAUUUGUUAAUUUGUAACUUUUCAAUAGUGGCCUUAUACAAUUAGCAUAAAAAAAUAAUUUAGUAGCAGAAAAAAAGAAAGAAAAACAAAAAGUCUCAAUGUUUUGAUGUUUUGUCAAUGAAUUGGUGCAUGCUAAAUUUCCAG
rnacentral:lncRNA from 1 species